rnacentral:rRNA from 1 species
CAAGCGUUGUUCGGAAUUACUGGGCGUAAAGGGCGCGUAGGCGGCCUGUUAAGUCGAACGUGAAGUCCCCGGGCUUAACUCGGGAACUGCGUCUGAUACUGGAAGGCUCGAGUUCGGGAGAGGAAUGUGGAAUUCCAGGUGUAGCGGUGAAAUGCGUAGAUAUCUGGAGGAACACCGGUGGCGAAGGCGGCAUUCUGGACCGAAACUGACACUGAGGCGCGAAAGCCAGGGGAGCAAACGGG